GACAGAGGAUGCAAGCGUUAUCCGGAAUGAUUGGGCGUAAAGCGUCUGUAGGUGGCUUUUAAGUCCGCCGUCAAAUCCAGGCUCAACCCUGGACAGGCGGUGGAAACUACCAAGCUGGAGUACGGUAGGGCAGAGGGAAUUUCCGGUGGAGCGGUGAAUGCGUAGAGAUCGGAAAGAACACCAACGGCGAAAGCACUCUGCUGGCCGACACUGACACUGAGAGACGAAAGCUAGGGAGCGAAUGGG
rnacentral:rRNA from 1 species